AAUAUACCAUUUAUAUAACUAUAUAACUAUCAAAAUGCCCCCCACCACCGCCUCCCCCCGCCUGUGUCUCCUCACCUUACAGCACUGUGUGUACAUCCUGAACUUCACGCUACCCCAACAUGCUUGGUCUCAUAAUGUCCGUAAGAAGCCAGAGAAUCCGAAUAUCUACUGUGUUUUGUCGACAUUAUGUUCAAAAGCUGAACCAUUCCACCCAAACAAUAUAAUUUAGUUUGUAAAAAAAACGAACUAUAACUUUUCUCCGAGAGAAAACCGCGUAGUUCGCAUGCUUAGCCUUUGUUUUGCCGGGGUUUACGCCACUUGCCGUAUUCAGGAAGCUCUCCUGAGUACGUAGAUACCGGUGACAAGUUUGUGUGACGUACCGUUGUCGAGAAACACGUGUUAGAAGCGUGGUCGGCAGCUAUGGUGUUUUACGGUCAAGUUAGCUUUGAUUGACAACUGCUCUGGCGUAUGACAAGCUACCAGGAUGGUUCCGGGAUAUUCUUGUAGCCAAUGAGUAGACGCUUCGAAUGAUAUAUGCAACAGCCCUUUCCGGUGAAGGGAAAGCUGGGAAAUCGAGUCCACAUUCAUCGCGCACAAGGCUAACUCUGUAGAACGAGCCGUGCGUAAAAUAGCAACAGCACUUUCGACGAGUGAUCAAAACAAAAUAGCAGCAGCAGCUUUUGACAAGCGAUGAAAACAUGUCGAAAAAGCAUAGAAAAACGAAAUCAGAGGAAAGUACCAGCAGGAGAAGUGAAGAAAGAGAAGAAAGUGAAGAAAGUAGUGUAAUUGAAGAAAGUGAAGAAAGUCCAGACUGAAGACUCUCAAGGCUUCGCCGACUUCUUAGAAGGAAUAAGUGACUUCGAAUGAUUUGCCUUGAACAUAUGUUUGCACUGCUGCAGAAUCACUUUUACAAAUAAAAAAAUUGCACUAUAA